AAGUCGUAACAAGGUUUCCGUAGGUGAACCUGCGGAAGGAUCAUUAGUGAACAAAGAAGACUUGGCCUUCGGGUCAAGCUUCGACCCUUCACACCCAAACACUGUGCACUGUUCUGGGCGAAUGUAGCAUCACCUUGUGUGAUGUUACUAUUAGUCCUGUCUUUUUUCAUAUAAACACAAGUCUAUGUAUGUGAUAACCAUAAAUUAAUAAAACUUUCAACAACGGAUCUCUUGGCUCCC
rnacentral:misc_RNA from 1 species